CCAGACCAAAUAUCCCAGACCGCCUCUGGGACUCCAAUGUCACGUCUGCGGAAACCGCUUAUUCGGCUCCCUUUCCAAAGAUGUGGAAACAACAGAAGCAGCAGCCACAUCCCAUGCAAAACUCUCCAUUUUCUUCGAUUAACCACCCGAAUUCACCCCGAGGCCCCCGGGACCCCAACCAAAAGCACCAAUACUUCCAAACACCUCAUUCAAGCUUGCUUGAAUCCUCAAAACUUCAACCCUAACAUCAAAAUCCUCGUUUUUCAUCAAAUUAAAGCCUAAGCUCCGUUAAAACUUCCAAAACUCACUUUUGAUCAAAAACCUAACCAAAACACAUCCGAUUGACCUGAAAUUUUGCACUCACAUCCCAAAUGACAUGACGGUGUUACAGCAACUUCCAUAAUCCCCUUAUGACUCUUGGAUCAAAAUUCACUAUCAGGCCGGAAACUUCAAAAUUCUAACUUUCGGCAUUUCUAGCCUAAAUGAGCUACGAACAUCCAAAAUACAUUCCGAACACGCUGCUAAACCCAAAAUAACCUAACGGAGCUAACAGAACCAUAGGGUUUCCAUUUCGAGGUCAUCUUAAGAAUGUUUUGAUUACGGACCAUUUUCCAACACUUAUGUUGUCAUUUAGGGACUAAGCGUUCCAAAACACUCUGAAUUCUAUUACCGGACAUCCCGGCAAACCAAAAUAGCAGAAAUGAACUUAGGGGAAGCACUUAAUGGUGAAGCGGGGCAUAAACUCCAAAGACGACCGGCCAGGUCGUCACCAAAACUAUAGCAGAAUGAGUCAGGAAAUGAGCUCACGUGUUAAAGAAUAAAGAACAAGGGAUCAAACAAAUACAGGGAAUGAAACCAUUUGAACCAAAUAAAACAAAACAAUUAUGGGAAUACAUGAAUUUGAACAGCUCAAGAC
rnacentral:lncRNA from 1 species